rnacentral:rRNA from 1 species
GCAAGCGUUAUCGGAAUUACUGGGCGUAAAGCGUGCGUAGGUGGUUUGUUAAGUUAGAUGUGAAAGCCCUGGGCUCAACCUAGGAACUGCAUUUAAAACUGGCAAACUAGAGUAUAGGAGAGGAAAGUGGAAUUUCAGGUGUAGCGGUGAAAUGCGUAGAUAUCUGAAGGAACAUCAAUGGCGAAGGCAGCUUUCUGGACUAAUACUGACACUGAGGUACGAAAGCGUGGGUAGCAAACAGGAUUAGAUACCCUGGUAGUCCACGCCGUAAACGAUGACAACUAGCCGUUGGGAGGGUUUACCUCUUAGUGGCGAAGCUAACGCGUUAAGUUGUCCGCCUGGGGGAGUGGGGGCCGCAAGGUUAAAACUCAAAGGAAUUGACGGGGACCCGCACAAGCGGUGGAGCAUGUGGUUUAAUUCGAUGCAACGCGAAGAACCUUACCUGGUCUUGACAUACACGGAACUUUCCAGAGAUGGAUUGGUGCCUUCGGGAACCGUGAUACAGGUGCUGCAUGGCUGUCGUCAGCUCGUGUCGUGAGAUGUUGGGUUAAGUCCCGUAACGAGCGCAACCCUUAUCCUUAUUUGCCAGCACAUCAUGGUGGGAACUAUAAGGAGACUGCCGGUGAUAAACCGGAGGAAGGCGGGGACGACGUCAAGUCAUCAUGGCCCUUACGACCAGGGCUACACACGUGCUACAAUGGGAAGGACAAAGGGUUGCUAAGCCGCGAGGUGGUGCUAAUCUCAUAAACCUUUUCGUAGUCCGGAUCGGAGUCUGCAACUCGACUCCGUGAGU